rnacentral:lncRNA from 1 species
AAAAAAACAGUAUUUAUAAUGCAGCAGGAAAUUUCAGAGUCCAUUGAACACCUGCUGCAAAUAAGGUGAGGUGAAGUGCAGCAGAAUCUGUGAAUCCCACAGGAAUGUUCUGAUCAGCUAUCAAGAUAAUACACAUCACAUCAGACACACAAGGAGGAGGAUGCAAUUAAAAGCGUGGGGCUGGGAUAUCAUAUGGCUUCCUGCCCACAUCCUUGGAAGUUGCCCAUGAUACUAGGGUAUUGGAGUCUGGGAGCUGUGACGAUAAAGAGGUGGAAGCUAGUCAGUGAUACCUCAGAGAAAAACAGAGAUCAACAGUUCAGUACCAGGCCUGCUGGCAGGAAUGUUCCACAUAACAUGGAAUGGAGAAAACAAUGAGAAGGCCAGCCUCUCCUAACCCCUGUUUAUAGUAACAAAGAAAAGGUAAGGGACAGACCACCCUGGCCCCCAUUGAUAGUUGUAAUUGGCUUCAGCUCUAGGGUUGGUUGGGACACAGGACACCAGCCAAAUUGAAGGAAGU